rnacentral:rRNA from 1 species
GGGAGUGAAAUAGAACCUGAAACCCUGCACUUACAAGCUGUGGAAGCACAUUUCUUGUGUGACCGCGUACUUUUUGUAGAACGGGCCAACGAGUUACGUUAAGUAGCAAGGUUAAGCACUUAAGGUGCGGAGCCGUAGCGAAAGCGAGUUUUAACUGAGCGUUCAGUUACUUGACGUAGACCCGAAACCGGGCGACCUAC